UCAGUAGCACAGUGGUAUAUGCCUAGGCUCAUGAAUUGUUGGCCCUGGGUUCAAAUCCAGG
rnacentral:tRNA from 16 species